GCGAGAAGAAUGGAGUUUGAUGCUGGAGCGUCAUCAUUGCCUAGUGACACUCCUAGCAACAGGAAACAUCUGUUUCAGCGUCGACCAAUCAGGAGCCGGUGCAGUCUGUUAUUGCUCGCUGCACAGAAAGGGGAUAUUUUAAGAGCCGAGAGUGAGCCGAAUACUACAGGGAUUAUAUCAAAAGCAAGACUUCGACAUCUGGGGGCGAAGCGUCAAGCUCACGCGGAGCUGAAAGCGGCUACAUUCGGCACGUUAUGAGCUGUUUUGAGCCUCUGGUUUGAUGAACGCGCGUGCGGGGACUGUUAAUGUGGCUUUAGAAAUAAGGAUCCAUUAGGCAAUGUGUGUGAGCCAGAGGAAAGAGUCUCAGGUCAAUAGAGGAUUUGUCAGAGAGGUGUGUGACUGUGUCCACGUGAAGCAGUUCUCAGGGUCUUUCCUCUAAGAGUGCCCUAAACGGUCAACAACGUCGAAAGUCGCCUACUUUAAGCGAAAAUAUGCGGAAGAGGAGGAUGUUCAGGGAAGCCUACAUGGAUAUUUACAAAAACACCUGAUCCUGCGUGAGGAGCGCAGCUGCAUCCUGCGCCUGUCUCUGCAGAAGCUGCGUUUCCUAGAUGACCCCGAGGCUUACCUUCGCCGCUCUGUGCUCAUCAACAACCUGCUACGCAAGAUCCACCUGGACGAAGCCCAGAGGGAAAGAGAGAAACAGAGGGAUGACAAGGAAGGGGAGGAGGAGACGGAGAGGAGGCGGAAGAGACUGAAGGUGGUGCUCCAGGAGUUCCAGCAGUACAAGCUGCUGCCGUUCUCAUCUUCUCCAGCCACGUGCAUCUGCGGCCUGGGCAGCUGCCACACCCUGCCUCCUGAUCAUGGAGCUUCAGUGCUGCUCUAUCACUUAGAUGAUAAAGGAUAAGAUGUCAUGCACACAUGCAGGGGAUUUUUCAUCUAUCUAUGACUGAUUUCCAGGAGCCAGCAUUAAGGGAGAAGAGGAUUCUGGUUUGUGUGCAUUUGUGCUUGUGCUGGUGAGCGUGAGCUCUGCGGUUAGUGACAUGAUAGGUGUCUAUCCAUAUCAGGGUGCAUUUUCCAACCGGAAAAAGACAUCAUCUUGUUAUCACUGCUUUGUUGAUAUGAACUUUGACCACAGACAUUUUGUUUUCAUAAAUUUGCUUGAGUGAGCUAUAAUCUUAAAGGGUUACUCCACCCCAAAAAAAACUAUUUUGUCAUUAAUCACUUACCCCCAUAAGUUCCAAACCUUUAAAAGCUUAGUUCGUCUUUGGAAACACAAUUUAAGAUAUUUUCAAUUUAAGAUACUCUUCUGUGUCAGCCACGCUGCAUGCUUUUGCUGUUUUCAAAUCAAAGUGUAAAUACACAUAGAAAAUGUAUCCUUGUGUCGCGGCUGACAGAACAGCAUACGCGGCUUGCCUUCAGCUCAUAUUCUCAUAAAUGGCUCUGUGGUGAUGCGAGAUACACAGAAGAGACGAAUUGUUGAAUAAAGUUAAUAAAAUUUUUGUUUUCUUUGCGUACAAAAAGUAUUCUCAUCAAUUCAUAAAGUAUCAUGAUUUUCUGGAUCUUGACAGUGUAACUGACUUUCAUAAGCCUCCCGGUUUUCAUCCAAAAUAUCUUAAACUGUGUUCCGAAGAUGUAUAAAGCUUUUACAGGUUUGGAACGACAUGGGGGGUAAGUGAUUAAUGACAAAAUUUACAUUUUGGGGUGGACUAUCCCUUUAAGCACUGUUUUCAGGGAUUAAAAAAAGGCAAAUGAAAAGCCGUGCACCUUGUGGUUGUUAUAUUAUGUUGUAAGAAAAAAAAAAAAGUAAACUGUAAGUGUCAAAGUCCUGGCUGCUCCUAAGGAUGGAGUCAUUUUUACUGAAGCUUUGUUGCUGUGAAAUGGACAUUUUUGUGUAAGUGGCUACUGAUGUCAAGCUAGUAAUGGAUUAAAAAAUAUAUAAGUUUCCAUAGCUUUAACAAAAAAUAACAAAAGAAAAGAAAACAGCAAAAUGUAGGGGCAAAUAAGAAGUGAAUUUUUUUCUUUCAGGGCGUUCUUUUGGUGUUUAUUUUAAACGGGGUCUCACUCUCAGCAAAAAACGUACAAAACUCAUCAUAUCACACCGUACCCUUUAUAAAGGUAUCAAUAUGCACAUUUAAGAUACUAAUAUGUAACAUUUUGCCUAAAUAAUGUAAAAAGAUGUGUUUUAGCUUUUGUGUCUAAUUAGAGUACCACCCCAAUGAAAGUUUUUGUACCUUUUUUUCUGAGAGUGUAGUGACAUGCAGCUUUCACGAUGUAAAAAGAAAAAAGAAAAAAAAAUACUGCAUUUUGCUUCUUGUGUUUCAUUGCAUACAGCCUUUUGAGGCUUUUGGCAUAAACUGUUAUGUUAAGGUGACUCUGCCAUCUAGUGUUAUGGCGAUGAAUUCUCAGCUGCAUAGACCUUUUUGGUUCAUUCAUUCAAUCAACUGUACUACCUGCCAUUUAUAAUGCUGUUUUACACUUAUUUGUACCUUGUAACAAAUUUUAGUUGUCUGUCCAGUUUGUCUGGCCAGUAUACUGAGUUUCAAAUGCCUCAUUUCACACACACACACACACACGUUUGUUUUUGUGAAAAGUGGGGACAUCCCAGUAAUGGUUUUAUACUGUAGAAAAUUUAUAUUCUAUGGCCCUACACCUAACCCUAACCUUCACAGGAAACUUUGUGCAUUUUUACUUUCUCAAAAAAAAAAAAAAAAAAAUUCUGUAUGAUUUAUAAGAGUUUUGAAAAAUGGGGACAUGGGUUAUGUCCUCUUAAGUCACCCUCUCCUUCUAAUACCUGUGUCAUACCCAUGUCAUUAUACAGAGUUGUGUCCUGAUAUGUCACAAAAACAAGAGCACACACACACAAUCACAAACACACAGAUUUUCUUCAUUUCUGGCUUUAUAAUCUUUGGAUCUGAAACCCCUAGCUAUGCGGGUGUCAGCAUAUCUCAUAACAAUGGCCUACAGUCAGUGCACAGACCCACGGUUUAUGACUAAAAGGGAAAACAAGGUAUACAUGCUCAAUGUAGUGUAAAAUCUGCCAUUCACUCUUACACAGAACCUCAGAUGAUCCUGUUCUUGUCUCUUAUCGCUGUGCAUGUCUCUCAUACAUUGGUUACAUGAAGUUUUCUAACAGGCAAAGUUGUGCAAAAAAUAUUUUGGUACGGUUAAUAAUGACUGGUACUCUUACUAUUAAUAUUUUGUGUGUUUAUGCACAUUUGUAUAUGUAUUGUAUUUUUUCAAUAUCUGAAUGUAAUUUACUGAAAUCUAAAUUCAAAGUGCUAUCUUUUGGAGAUUUCAAGGC